rnacentral:rRNA from 1 species
AACGAACGCUGGCGGCAUGCCUAACACAUGCAAGUCGAACGAGACCUUCGGGUCUAGUGGCGCACGGGUGCGUAACGCGUGGGAACCUGCCCUUAGGUUCGGAAUAACUCCCCGAAAGGGGUGCUAAUACCGGAUAAUGUCUUCGGACCAAAGAUUUAUCGCCUUUGGAUGGGCCCGCGUUGGAUUAGCUAGUUGGUAGGGUAAAAGCCUACCAAGGCGACGAUCCAUAGCUGGUCUGAGAGGAUGGUCAGCCACACUGGGACUGAGACACGGCCCAGACUCCUACGGGAGGCAGCAGUGGGGAAUAUUGGACAAUGGGCGAAAGCCUGAUCCAGCAAUGCCGCGUGAGUGAUGAAGGCCUUAGGGUUGUAAAGCUCUUUUACCCGGGAUGAUAAUGACAGUACCGGGAGAAUAAGCUCCAGCUAACUCCGUG